AGGUGCUGCAUGGCUGUCGUCAGGCUCGUGUCGUGAGAUGUUCGGUUAAGUCCGCUAACGAGCGCAACCCUCGCUGUGUGUUACAAGUGUCACACGGAACUGCCGGUCAUAAACCGGAGGAAGGUGGGGAUGACGUCAAGUCAGCAUGGCCUUUAUAUCCUGGGCUACACACACGCUACAAUGGGAAGGGACAAUAGGUUGCGAAGCCGCGAGGCGGAGCCAAUCCAGCAAAACUUCCCUCAGUUCAGAUUGCAGGCUGCAACUCGCCUGCAUGAAGUUGGAGUUGCCAGUAAACGCAGGUCAGCCAUACUGCGUUGAAUACGUUCCCGGGGCUU
rnacentral:rRNA from 1 species